UAGUUAAUUAAGAGAUUAAUAGUCUCAAGGAUUUUUCUGCCUGGGCUGGCUUCCAACCCCCAUUGUCAGUCUCAGCCUACUUAGUAACUGGGAUUACAGACAUAAACCACUGGCACUCAGCUCUUAAUAUUUUAAAUAUUUUCCAAAAUUUUGAGUCAGCCGACAAAAGAGGUCUAGGGUAAAAUUUUAGUUAUUUUCCACAUGAUGUGCAGUUAGUAUUAGAGGAUAUAAUGGUAGUUGUUUUUCUGCAAGUAUAGUGCAAAGAUUUAAAAAAAACAAAUCACAAGGCAUAUCUUCUGACAGUCCCAGGAACCUGUAGAACAAAA